rnacentral:rRNA from 1 species
AUGAAGAGGAGGAUGGCGGAGGGAAGGACCAGUGCUGGUGGUGGCCGUAUGGCAGGGGCGAUUGGUGGAGGGAGGAAAAGAGUAGGGCGACUGCUGCCUUCUCUCGCAUCCGCUUUCUCGCCCGUGCCACCGUGCCGUCAGGAGGACUCCGACAGUGACGAUUCCAGCGAAGCAGCAGCGGAAGACGAACACAACAGAGACGCACAAGCAGGAGACCAACAGGCCAGUGGCAAGUCAUACGCCAAAAGGGGACAUCGACAAGCACGUAUGUCGCCAAACGCGUCUCUCUCCACCUGUAGGAUGAUUUCCGUGGCACGGCCCUCGUCAGAGUAUGAGGGCAUGUGUUGCUCAUUAUCUCUUUUACCCCCUGCCGGCGGUACUGAGUGGCUUAGCACUAAUGCAAGACGAACAUCAGUCAACUUACACUUUGACCGCAAGUCACUUGAGUGCCAAUUCGACCAUGUCAAAUGCAGUUUUGCAUGGAAAGGAGCUGGUAUAUUUGUAAUUGAUGUGUAUGAUGGCACGUCUUCUGAAUGCAAGCUUCGUCUCGAUAGGAGAUCCUCCAGCUUCCGUGUGUUGAAGUCUGACGGAUUGGAGAAUCAGAUGGUAGUCGCUAGAGAGGCAAGGAACUCCCAUGCUUGCAGCGAUGCACUUGGUGGGCAUUCCAUGCAUUUUUCCCGUAGAAUCACACGGAAAAAUGGUGAAUCUACAGGAUUGGCAUGA